CCUUUGUCUCUCGUGUCGCCAAAAUCAAAAGAACACGGUUCCAAAGUCGCCACGUAACCCACCCUCACCGAUCGACGCAAUUUAUCAGUAGUUCACUACGUCUAUUCAAUCCAUAUCUCAUGUUCUCUUCUACUUCUACGCCUCCCUUCUACACAUCGACAUAUCCACCAAUUCCCCCAUCUCUUUUUACAACACAUCCGACUUUGUCCCCAAAAGGAAUCCGACCAUAUCAUCCACCCAAAAAAAAAACCUAAUUCGUUGUGCAAAUAUUCAACCAACUCAUUUAUGCCGAUUGUAGAUUGAUUGUUGGUCCUUGAUUCUUCAAAAAAAGGUUAUAUUUCAUUCGGUUUUCACUUAAAUUACAUCAUCCCCCAAAUAAGUCCUAAUUUUUAUCGUUUGAAAUUGGCUAUCUUGUUGAAUGCGGAGCCAAAGAGGAACGAUUCAAUCGUUCAUCUUCUACCACCAUGUUUGCUAUUGGUAUAUUAUCUUCACGAACCCUAAUUGAUUUUUGGCAAAUAUUUUUGUUCCUUCGCUUCAUAUUUCUCUGUCAAUCAAAACGAUAACACCGUCGACUUUCAAUUUUGGAAAACCCUCACUUUAAAUUUCCAGAUUAUCCGUCUUCAUUUAAGACGGUGGGUGGGUUUUCAGACGGCGAUAUCAAUUAUUUUUGAAGAAACUUUGUGCAACGCGUUUCAAUUCCAUCCAGAAACUAUAUGAACGGUCGGUGUUCCUUCUCCCGAUUGUCACAUACAUUUUCUAAAUAUGUCUUUGCAUUUUCAUUUUGUGUUGAUUCUCUAUGCUUUUGGGGUUUGUAGGAUAAUCAAAUUUGGAGAUAGCCAGAUAGGUUUUCGAUUUUUCUGAUGAACGUUCAUGAUUUCAUCCUGAUUUUCACUUCUUAUUUGCUAAUAUGGUUUUUCUUUGUGUCGUGUGAAUGAUAGAAACUGAUAUUGACUUCAAUUUCAAAGAAGUGGAAGCCCAACUUAGGAUAUCAACUACUAAUGAUGUUUCUGGUUCCUCCUCCCCCAACAACUUCUUACUCUUAAACAUCUGCUCGAGGGUUACCUUUGAUGACACCAAUUACUAUGAUUGGAUGUGUAACAUUAAGAUGGCUAUAUGCUUCGAGGAGAAAUAGUAUGUGCUCGAAAAGGAACUCCUUGAGAUUGAUGAAACUAAAGCUACUCCUGAAGAUCAAGCUGAGUAUAAGAGAUACUACAACGAUGCUACCAAAGUGGCAUGCAUCAUGGUGGCUACUAUGACUCCUGAGCUUCAAAGGUUCUAUGAUGAUUUCUGGCCAUACGAGAUGAACAAGGACUUGGUGGAAAAGUACCACGAACAAGUUUGUCAAGAAAAGUAUGAGGUAGUAAAGUCCAUCAUCACCAGAAAAAUGAAAGAUGGAGAGUCUAUCAGUAGCCACUUGCAAAGAAUGCAAAGAUAUGUGGAAUGCUUGGUGAAGCUAAAUGUGAAUGUUGAUGACGAAUUGGCUAUUGAUAUAGUCUUGCACUCAUUGCCUAGUUGUUAUGACCAGUUCAUCAUGAGUUAUCAUUUGAAAAACCAAGAGACCACAUUGGCUCGACUUCAGAACCUGCUGCGAACUGCUAAAACUGGAAUGAAAGGAAAAAAGUGUUGCCUCCACUCCUACUACUACUCAUGUCUUGUCCAUAUGGAAAGGAAAAGGGGAGAAGAGGAAAGCUCAUCGUAAGAAGAAUUGGAAGGGAAAGUCUCAACCUGGGUCCUUAAGUAAUGGAUAUAAAGGAAAGACCAAUUCUGAAGCUCCCUUUGCCUCUGAUCCUAAGGAGUCUACAUGCUUUUAUUAUCAUGAGAAAGGGCAAUGGAAACAAAGUUGCCCUAAAUACUUGCAAGACAUAAAGGAUGCCAAGGGGCUAAAAAGAAGCGAGGAUGUGGAGCAUGGGAAGAUGAACUCGGUCAUGGGAAAUAGGAGAUCAUCACCUAUAACGAAGAUAGGUGUUUAUUCGUUAGUUCUUAGUAAUGGGUAAUGUUUAGAUUUGAAAAUUGUUGCUAUUUGUCAGAGAUGACACGAAACAUCAAUUCAUUUCAUGCUUUAU